CAGGUGCUGCCAAAUAGAGAGACUCCUAAAUUCUGCAGGAUGCUUCACAGACUUGAUGAGCAGGUGGUCUGCUUGUUGUCACCCACCAAGGCAUCAGCAUGGCCCCACCCCAGGAGCAGCUGCGAACGUCAGAAUCACCACGCAACCAGUCAUGUCUUCCAGAUGCAAAGUCACAUGGUUCCAGAUGACCUGUCCUCGAGGGUAAAUGAAGAAGGGAAGGAUCCUUGAACACCAUUUAAAUGAUUUUUUAAA